rnacentral:misc_RNA from 1 species
GAUGAAGAACGUAGCGAAAUGCGAUACUUGGUGUGAAUUGCAGAAUCCCGUGAACCAUCGAAUCUUUGAACGCACAUUGCGCCCGCCAGUAUUCUGGCGGGCAUGCCUGUUCGAGCGUCAUUUCAACCCUCAGGCCCCCAGUGCCUGGUGUUGGGGAUCGGCCCAGCCUUCCUGUAAGGCCGCCGGCCCCGAAAUCUAGUGGCGGUCUCGCUGUAGUCCUCCUCUGCGUAGUAGCACAACCUCGCAGUUGGAACGCGGCGGUGGCCAUGCCGUUAAACACCCCACUUCUGAAAGUUGACCUCGGAUCAGGUAGGAAUACCCGCUGAACUUAAGCAUAUCAAUAAGCGGAGGA